rnacentral:misc_RNA from 1 species
CACACGAAUGCGCAUGCAUAAGUUUUACGUGUGAUCAGAAUCGUUCGAUAAAACAUGUGUUUGCCUUCCGAAGAGAAUUGGUGAUAUUUCGAAAAGCAAAAUAAAUCAGGUAUACGUGUCGUUGACUGGGAACAAUGAGUGAAAUUUUCGUGAGUAAAAAAUAACCUCCAACACGCCAGUUAUUCGAUCAAAUUCGAGUACUCGGAGCACGCUGGUUCUCGAAAUGAGUUUUCGGUUUGUCCGCACGGCUUAUGCGUGCGCACGAGUCUAUUAGUAUAUGCAUGCAGCCGACAAUAAUCGCGCCGAUCCACAGAUUGCGUCACUGAAACUGUGGCGAGGACGACCUUAAUCCUAGGUAAGGAAAAAACAACGAAAACUAACCGACUAAUAAACCCACUUGCAGUCGGAGUUGGAAUUAAUUAAAUUAUACACGCACGUCUGAAGAGGAGGCACGCAUCCAUGGGAUCUAGUUGUAAAAAUGUACAGUCCGAUGCCAUUAAUUACCGAUAUUUGGCAUCAGGUGAAAGAGAAUGAAAUAAACGUAUGAGAAAGUAAUAAACAAAACACCGAAAAUGGAGACAAACGAAGUUGAAAAUGCUGAGAAAGUUCGCUCCGAAAUUACCAAUAGCAAUAGUUCCGCGGAUGCCGUGAAGCCUCCGAAGGAUGCCAAAGGUGCCAAGAUAGUUGAAGAAAAACUGAUGAAAGUAAACGUACAGCUAAAACCACCGAUAUCGCCGACUAGUCUUUUAGCACAAAAUAUAGCCCUCUUACCUACGGGGGUCGCCAAAGUAAAGCAAUCACAACCAGCGAAUUCCGUUCCCAAAAUGAAUUCGUCAAAUUCCGGAUCAUCGAGCGCAUCCGCUACCGGAAAUCCGCGAAAUAAGACGGCACUUGCACCAGGCCAUAGCCUUAUGGAUUGGAUUCGACUAGGUGCUUCAGGAGUCGAUUUAACAGGAGUUAAUGGCGUUCCGCAAAAUGUUACUCCUUCGGAACUCGCCCGACACAACCAGCCGAACGAUGCUUGGAUCGCGAUUCGAGGAAUCGUGUACAACGUUACGAGAUACAUAGAUUUUCAUCCAGGUGGAAUGCCGGAGCUUAUGAAAGGCGUCGGAAAGGAUGCGACCAAGUUAUUUGACGACGUGCACGCAUGGGUCAACUACCAAAGCAUUCUACAAAAGUGCAUCGUGGGUAGGUUGAAUCGUUUCGCUGGCGAGACUUCGGCACCACCCGUGAAGAUCGUAUCUCCUUCUUCAACGUCGUCUGGUCUCCUUUCGCGAUGUAUCAAACAACGUUCAACGAGUGAAACUACUACUCCGCAUCCGAAAAUGGAUUGGAUUCAAACUAGCAAUACUAUCACCUUAUUUUACUAUUCCCUACGAGAUCAUCCAGCAGCGGGUUAUCAACUAAUGCAGAUCACCGACUCUAAAUAUCAUUUUAAAUUUUGCUUCGAGAAAGAUUUUAUAAUUCACGACAUUAAAUUAUCUGGUGCUGUUAAUUGGCCUCCGAAAUGGAAGAGAAAUUUCGAAUCCAUGAAGAUGGAAAUCACAUACACAAAGAAAGAACCAGGCUUGUGGAAAACUUACGGUACUUACAAAACAGUACGCGAGCGUAACGCGAAGCAAAGAACUUACAGAGAGUACGAAGUAGUCAGCAAUACACCGCUCUGUAAGUUGGUUCACUUGAUCGUUCUGCGUACUAAAGAAUACUUGGAAAUAGUACCAAUAGGCAGGCAUGUCGAAGCCAAACUUCAAAUAAUGGGCACGGACGUAUCCCGAAUGUACACUCCGGUUCCGCCGUAUCUUCACCCUGAGGAUGUCGCACCCAACUACGAUUCCGAUUGUAUUUGCUUGAUGGUCAAGAGGUAUGCCGAUGGCGCCCUUACUCCAACUAUGACAGCAUUAAAGUCGGGGGAAACUUUGAUGCUAAGCAAUUGCCUGGGAACCUUUACCGUCGAGAACUUCCAACAAUUUACUAUUUUUCACAUGCUAGCUGCAGGCACCGGUCUCACUGCAAUGCUGUCGAUCAUUCAGUGGGCACUCGGCAGACGCAACGUAAGCCGUAUUAAUGUUCUCAACUUCAACAAGAACGAAGAUAGCAUAUUUUAUUCCAGGCAGUUGGAUAAAGUUCUCUCAAGCGAGCCAAGCAAAUUCUACCAGCAAAACGUGUGAAACUUGAGUUUCAUCCUGUAGAAAAAAACUGCUUCUCAAUAACAAUCAUACCCCUCAUGGACUGAUUCACUGUUACGCAUAUUUUGUCACAUCCAGAAGACUCCUGGACCGGUCGUCGUGGCGAAAUUUCGACUAAUCUGUUGCAAGAAUUGUUUGGUCCUAGUUCUCAGGCAUGCGUUUUCAGCUGUGGACCUAGACCCUUCAU